UUUUUUUGAUAAUAUAGAAGGAUGAAAUUCAUAAUUAGAAAAAAACCUCCUAAACCCUAAACCUAAACCGUAAACACUAAACUCUUAACACUAAAUCAUAAAUCCUAAACCCUAAACCCUAAACCUUAAACCUCAAACCAUAAAUAUACACCCUAAACCUUAAAUAUAUAUAUUACAAGGGACAAAAGUAAUUAAAAAAGAAUAUUAAAUACUAAACCCUAAAC
rnacentral:lncRNA from 1 species